rnacentral:rRNA from 1 species
AACGAACGCUGGCGGCAUGCCUAACACAUGCAAGUCGAACGAGACCUUCGGGUCUAUUGGCGCACGGGUGCGUAACGCGUGGGAACCUGCCCUUAGGUUCGGAAUAACUCCCCGAAAGGGGUGCUAAUACCGGAUAAUGUCUUCGGACCAAAGAUUUAUCGCCUUUGGAUGGGCCCGCGUUGGAUUAGCUAGUUGGUAGGGUAAAAGCCUACCAAGGCGACGAUCCAUAGCUGGUCUGAGAGGAUGAUCAGCCACACUGGGACUGAGACACGGCCCAGACUCCUACGGGAGGCAGCAGUGGGGAAUAGUGGACAAUGGGCGAAAGCCUGAUCCAGCAAUGCCGCGUGAGUGAUGAAGGCCUUAGGGUUGUAAAGCUCUUUUACCCGGGAUGAUAAUGACAGUACCGGGAGAAUAAGCCCCGGCUAACUCCGUG